rnacentral:rRNA from 1 species
UACUUAAACAACCAGGAGGUUGGCUUAGAAGCAGCCAUCCUUUAAAGAAAGCGUAAUAGCUCACUGGUCUAGUGAUUUUGCGCGGAAAAUAUAACGGGGCUAAAGUAAGUACCGAAGCUGUAGACUUGCACACAACUUAGAUUAUUUAAGUUUAGAAUAUGAGAAACUAAGUUAUAUGUUUAGUUAUAUUUUUACUGAUUUUUAUAGAGUAAAGAUAGAAAUAAAACUUAGUAAAAUCAGUAAAAAUAUUCUUAGACUAAAGUUAAGUAGUUUAAGUUGUGUGCAAGUGGUAGGAGAGCGUUCUAUUUGCGUCGAAGGUAUACCGGUAAGGAGUGCUGGAGCGAAUAGAAGUGAGCAUGCAGGCAUGAGUAGCGAUAAUUAAUGUGAGAAUCAUUAACGCCGUAAACCCAA